AUGUUCAGUUGCACUCAAUACGUAUACCCUGAGUCUAUCUAAUAGACGUACACUAUGAAUGAAUCGCUUCUGUUUGAGUUGAUUGUAUUUCUUUAUUCUCUCUUUAGCUGGAGAUUCUUUUGGUUUCAUAUAUGGUGUUUGGACACCCUGGAAAAAACAUACGAAGAUGUCAUGAAUCUCUUAGCUUUUUUGAGUUUUAUUCUGCUGGAUCUCAUGCUUCUUAAACCCUCCAUUUGUCAUUUAUAUAUGCACUUGCGUGCUUAGUUUUAUUUCAUGCCUUUGAUUAGUGGCAGCAUCAACUUUUUGAUGAGUAAAGAGGUAACUUUUUACUUUUGAUUGAUGAAUGAGCUUUUUGCUUAUUGUGUUUCGUUAGGAAUUGUAUAUCAAUUUAAUCUAAUCCUUUUUUUUCGGGUGCAAAAUGGAAAUAUGAACGACAAUUGAAGGCAUACAACAAAAAACUGGUAAUGAUAUUGUUCACUAUUAUUUCUGAGUGCUGAGUGGCAUUUGUCGAUUGUAAUAGGCUAGCAAGGAAGAUGAGGAGUCGGACAAGUCCAAAUCCGAGGUGAAUGAUGAGGAGGGGAGCGGGGAGGUUAGCGUAAGUGAAGCUCGAUUUAUUCAUUCAUCUUUUGUGAAGAAUUUUGGGCAAAUUUUGGUAACAAGAAGCCAGCUUUUGUUUUAAAAUGUCGUGCAGGAGGAAGAAGAAGAUGACGACUGAGUAAAUUUUGAAUUCGAUGAUGAAGAUGUUUGGUUACAGUCGUAAUAUGUUAUAUAUCUACUGUAUAUGAAAUUCUUCUUCUCCACAACAUGAAUAGGGCCAAUCUUUUAGUGUUAUCCACUGAUGCAGAGUUUCGAAUUUUUUUUUGAAUUGCUGUGGAAGCCAUUUUCAAGCAUUAUAAUUGAUACUUUUUGGAGCCAUUUAUGAUCUGCCUUUAUUUUCUCCACUCCCUUUCUGAUCUACCUAUGUUACACAACACAUGGCCUUUUAUAAAUGAAAGGCCCUUUAUAAGUUUUGUAUUUAUUAAUUCAUAUUUUAUAAAGUAUAUGCUUCAUUAUAUACUAAUGUUGUGACACACUUUGAUUGCUUAACAAUUUUACAGGACUGUGAGAUCACAUGGUGAUUCAAUUUCAGAAGCCAAAACAACAAAUUUCAGAAGCCAAAACAGCAGAUGAAAAAGUUCAGUCCCCAUCCUCAAAGUAAGCAAAUCAUUAUCUUAGAUUUUAAGAUGAGGAUGUGAUGCGCUGCAUAUACUGGGAAUGUUAAUAGUGGGUGAUUUUUAUUGGUUAAUUACCAAACUGUAGAAGAGGUUAUAUGAUUUGGAUUUUGAGGUGAUGUUAUAUUGUUUAAUUUUUCGGAACAAAUAUGUGAGUUUUAUUUCUAUUUACAUUCUUGAGAAAUCUGUUUUCAAAUUUUGCAUAUUAUGUGUUUGACAAAAUGCUUGAUAGAACCCUGCGAAUUUUUCUUUACAUUCUUGAGAUUGUCUCUUGCUGAUUCUUUUCUUCUUUUUUUGUUGCAG
rnacentral:lncRNA from 1 species